UGACCUUCAGAGCCAUACCCCACAAG
rnacentral:piRNA from 1 species